rnacentral:lncRNA from 12 species
AUGGAGAGAGGGAGAGGGAGACGGUCCCACAGGAAGGCAGCAGACGGCUGCCCCCUCCCCCCCAGCCCUGGUGUGGCCGGGCCAGCUUUUGACCCUGAGGGCAGGGAGGGCGGAUCUCGCCGCAGGGGGAAUCUGGGAAAUGGGCCCAACCCUGGUUCCUUCCAUGCUUGUGUUCCCCCAGCACCUGGGGCGGGGGCGGGGGAGGAGGUGCAGAGCAGGUUGGAGAUACACUCAGGACCGUGCUGGGCUGCAGGAAGGGGGUUGGGAAGGGGUCCCAGGGGCUCCCCGGCUUCUGGCGUGUGCAGCGGGGCCAGUGGGGACAUUCGCAGAGACAGGGACGCUGGCAGAGGGCGAGGGCCUCGGGGAGGACGGGGAGGAGGUGUGGGGGGGCUGUCCCUGGGGGACGGGACAGGGACGUCAGGGUUUUCGUGGGAACAAUCAGGCAGCUGACGUAUUCUUAUCCCCAUUUCGCGGAUGAUGGCUCUGCAGCUCAGGAAGGCCACCCAGCUGAGUGUCUCCCCAGCCAGGACAUGGACCCAGAGCCGUGGCCUCUCGAGGUGACCCCCCACCCUCGUCUAGGCUUACGGUUGAGAAGAGCAAUGCAUGAGCUGUGAACGGUGGGAUUUUAGGUGGGUGGCAUCUCCCAGUGUCACCGGCUUGGUCUUCACUCAGGGCCGCAUCUGGGUUCAGUUCCGGACCCUCCCCUUGUGCUGCACUUGCGGUGCUCUUGGUCCGGGGGCCUCGGCCACCCUGGGACGGUGGGAGGCAGCUCAGCUCUGCAGCCCAUAAUGCCAGGAAGGAUCUAGAAAAGUCUUUCAAUCGUUCAGCCUGAGAAGCGUCUAAAGUCAGCCUUGAGUGGAGGCAGAGGAGCCCCGGACGGGCUGGCUCCCUGGGGCUCUGCUACCUCCUACCCCCUUGCUGGACAUGGGAGGGGGCUUAGGACUUGCCGGGACUUGUCUACGGGGGCCCCUCCUCUGCUGGCUGGCUGGGGCGGUCAGAGGUAGCAAAAGCACCGGGCCAGGACGGGAGUCUUGGGGCUCCCAUUCACCCCCAGUGACCUCAGGGUCCCCGCCUGGACAGACAGCCCAGGAAAUGAGUGAGACCUGAGGCUUCUUCCCUCAGGCAUUCCAAGCUCUCCAUCUUCUGAGGUCCGAGAGGAAAAACAUACCAAAGGCCGCGACGGCAGGCUUGUGGUCAGGGGACAGAACUGGUCGGGGUGCCUAGGAAACAUGCCCAGGGUGAUGGGUGUGAACCUGGGGGCGGGGGGGGGGGGCGCCUUCCCGGAAGGUACGGGGAGGGUGUGAACAGGAGGCACAAGGGACCAGGGGGCACACAGGAAUGGGCUGGUUCAUGUGAAAAUUAAACCAGCAGGUUUUCCACGAGAGGAUGGGAACCCAGCAGCCCUCCUCGGGGCCGGCUAUGACAUUGGCCUCUGGUGUGGACUGGACGC